rnacentral:misc_RNA from 1 species
CGUAUGGUAGGCCGGUCUGACCGGUUCUAUUCAACCCUGUUUUUUGCGCACCCUUUGUUUCCUCGGCAGGCUUGCCUGCCAGUAGGACCUUUUCAACCCUUCGUGUCAAAGCAAUCAGCGUCAAACAAACAAAACAAUGGUAA